GCGUAAGCGCGCGCAGGUGGUUUCUUAAGUCUGAUGUGAAAGCCCACGGCUCAACCGUGGAGGGUCAUUGGAAACUGGGAGACUUGAGUGCCGAAGAGGAAAGUGGAAUUCCAUGUGUAGCGGUGAAAUGCGUAGAGAUAUGGAGGAACACCAGUGGCGAAGGCGACUUUCUGGUCUGUAACUGACACUGAGGCGCGAAAGCGUGGGGAGCAAACAGGAUUAGAUACCCUGGUAGUCCACGCCGUAAACGAUGAGUGCUAAGUGUUAGAGGGUUUCCGCCCUUUAGUGCUGAAGUUAACGCAUUAAGCACUCCGCCUGGGGAGUACGGCCGCAAGGCUGAAACUCAAAGGAAUUGACGGGGGCCCGCACAAGCGGUGGAGCAUGUGGUUUAAUUCGAAGCUACGCGAAGAACCUUACCAGGUCUUGACAUCCUCUGACAACCCUAGAGAUAGGGCUUCUCCUUCGGGAGCAGAGUGACAGGUGGUGCAUGGUUGUCGUCAGCUCGUGUCGUGAGAUGUUGGGUUAAGUCCCGCAACGAGCGCAACCCUUGAUCUUAGUUGCCAUCAUUUAGUUGGGCACUCUAAGGUGACUGCCGGUGACAAACCGGAGGAAGGUGGGGAUGACGUCAAAUCAUCAUGCCCCUUAUGACCUGGGCUACACACGUGCUACAAUGGACGGUACAAAGAGCUGCAAGACCGCGAGGUGGAGCUAAUCUCA
rnacentral:rRNA from 1 species